UCACACCCUUGGCUGCAGGCGGUGCUAAACCGCUGCGCCACCAGGGCUGCCCCCAAGCCUAUCAGACCAUGCUUUGAUCAUCCAGAAACAAAAAUGUUUCUUGGAACCAAUCCACGGGGCAACAAAUGGAGUCUGUUUUGACUGUUCUUUCUGAAAACCCUGUUGCCAGUAGCGCUCAUCAUCGUCAUUGACCACGAGGCUUGGCAUGGACCCAGGAAGAACUGUGAUGGCAGGUCAUCCGGGGUCCUUAGGAGAGGAGUUCCUGCUCGGCUACUGUCCCUUCUAAAGCAUUCAUGAAAACAAAUAAUCACCACACAAAUGUGUACUCUCCUACCCGGAGUUAUCAUCCUAUCUUUCAGAAUACUGGACAUUCUCAUCAUUGAACUCCACACCCAAUAUGGAGCUUGAACUCAAGACCCCAAGAUCCAGAGUCACAUCCUCUAGCGACUGAGCCAAUUGGGCACCCCCAGUUUAUAUCUCUUUUAUAUUUUCCAUCUCUUCCUCCCUCCAAGUGAUUAUAUAGAGGUAAUUUCCUUAAGCCUGCUUUGCAGUUUAUUAAGUCUCACUUCUGGUCUUUAACUAUUAAUAUUUCAUUUCCAUUACUUCAGUUUUUCAUUUAUAGAAAUUGUAUUCAAUUAUUUCUUUCAAAUCUGUAUGUUGGUUUUUCACAGACUCAUUAUUUUCUCAUGCUUUAGAGUCUUUCCUUUAUGCCAUUAAUCACGUUAUAUUUAUUUUAUACUCCUGAUUUAAUAGUUCUGUUAUCUGGAGUUCUCAGGAAACCUAAUUCCCCUAAUUGUUGUGUUGUGUCUGCUGACUCUCAGACGUGGCAAACUGUUGCCUUGUAUGCUUUGUAUUUAGGAAUGUGUGUUCAUCUUCAGCACGGGAAUCCCUGACAGCCUGUUGUGUCUCUUCACAACAGUUUUUAUGUUUGCUUCUUCCAGGAGCCUUAGGGUUACCACUGGACAGGACCAAAUUUUAUAUCAUUUUUUUGACUUGGUGCAGGCUGAUAGCAUAAAUCAGCUUUCAGCAAACCAUCAUCUAUUUUAUUCAUUCAAAAAAAAAAGAUUCAUUCAUUCAUUCAUUCAUUCAUUCA